rnacentral:rRNA from 1 species
UACGGGGGGAGCAAGCGUUGUUCGGAUUUACUGGGCGUAAAGGGCGCGUAGGCGGCCACCGCAAGUCGACUGUGAAAUCUCCCGGCUCAACCGGGAUAGGUCUUCGGAUACUGGCGGACUGGAGGAGAGCAGAGGUGAGCGGAAUUCUCGGUGUAGUGGUGAAAUGCGUAGAUAUCGAGAGGAACACCAGUGGCGAAGGCGGCUCACUGGGCCCCACCUGACGCUGAGGCGCGAAAGCGUGGGGAGCGAACCGG